AUACGGAGGAUCCGAGCGUUAUCCGGAUUUAUUGGGUUUAAAGGGAGCGUAGGCGGACGCUUAAGUCAGUUGUGAAAGUUUGCGGCUCAACCGUAAAAUUGCAGUUGAUACUGGGUGUCUUGAGUACAGUAGAGGCAGGGGGAACUCGUGGUGGAGCGGGGGAAUGCUUAGAUAUCACGAAGAACUCCGAUUGCGAAGGCAGCCUGCUGGACUGUAACUGACGCUGAUGCUCGAAAGUGUGGGUAUCAAACAGGAUUAGAUACCCUGGUAGUCCACACAGUAAACGAUGAAUACUCGCUGUUUGCGAUAUACAGUAAGCGGCCAAGCGAAAGCGUUAAGUAUUCCACCUGGGGAGUACGCCGGCAACGGUGAAACUCAAAUGAAUUGACGGGG
rnacentral:rRNA from 1 species